CCUACGAGUGGCAGCAGUGAGGAAUAUUGGUCAAUGGGCGCGAGCCUGAACCAGCCAAGUCGCGUGAGGGAGGACGGCCCUACGGGUUGUAAACCUCUUUUGCCGGGGAGCAACGGGCGUCACGUGUGGCGCCACUGGGCGUACCCGGAGAAAAAGCAUCGGCUAACUCCGUGCCAGCAGCCGCGGUCAUACGGAGGAUGCGAGCGUUAUCCGGAUUUCUUGGGUUUAAAGGGUGCGUAGGCGGAUCGUUAAGUCAUCGGUCAAAUUGAGGGGCUCAACCCCUUCCCGCCAUUGAAACUGGCGCUCUUGAGUGGAAGAGAAGUAUGCGGAAUGCGUGGUGUAGCGGUGAAAUGCAUAGAUAUCACGCAGAACCCCGAUUGCGAAGGCAGCAUGCCGGCUUCCGACUGACGCUGAAGCACGAAAGCGUGGGGAUCGAACAGGAUUAGAUACCCGGGUAGUC
rnacentral:rRNA from 1 species